rnacentral:lncRNA from 1 species
CUGCGGGGAGGGGACCGGGACAAGUGUUUAAAGAGGGUUUGGAAAUCGAGCUUUGAAAAAUGCCGGUGUUCCCUUUAGUCUUUUAAACUUGCAAAAUGACCAAAAGACCCCAUGUGUAGUCUCACUGUGACCUGGGGGUAGGUUUGCCAGGUAAAAUACAGGGGCCCAGUUAAAGGUAAAUUUCAGAUGUACAACCAGUAAUUUUUAGUGUUAAGUUUGUCCCAAAUAUCGCACGGUCAAUUCACGUUUAACUCGGUGUUCCGGUUGGGUUUCAUUUUGGUCUUGUAUUUUUAUUUGCUACAUCCUGAGCCACCGGCUUGUGAUUUUUUGCCCUACACCUCUCUAAGUGGGAGGUUUCCAGGACUCCUGAGAAAAGACUGGUUAGCCCGGAGCGGUGCAGGAAGAAGUGGAAUAUGCUAUGAAGAGUCAGGGCUUGGGGUCUGGAGGCUAAUUUAGAUGCUGGGCCAUAUCACUAAGUGACUAUAAUUGAUUCUCAAAACAUCCAUUUGCCAAAUGAUUAACGAAGUAUUAAUAUUUACCAAAUCUACUGAUUUAUCAAUAACUUGAUUUAAGGAAUAUGCAUCUGGAAUAUAUCAUAUAUGAAUAUGUACUUCUUUACCCAGCAGUAACUUACUAUUCUUUUUCUAUUUACUGCUCCUUCCUACUGGGUGUCUCUCUCUCGCUGUCUCUCUUUCGCUCUCACUCUUGCUCUCUGUCUCUCUCUUCUUGAGGCAUUUUCCCUCCUCUUUCUAUUCAAAGCUUUAUUUUCAGUUUUUGCUUUCUUACAGUGUUGAGUUGUUUAUCUGUAUUCCUGUGUACAGAUUUUGUUAUUUUUAUAUAAUUUAUUCCUUUAUUCUGGUCCUUUGUAGCUGGUCUACCUGUGUCUGGCUCCCUUUUAUUUUGACUAGACCCUGGGCAGCUUUUUCUUGACACAGAAACCAUUUUCUUUCCACACACCCACUCCCACCCCAUAUCAUUCCUACGUUUUGAAGGAGGAAUACACGUGUCUGAAAUAGUACUUCUCACACAGUGCAGCCUGAUUCUUGUCUUGAGCCAAGUCUGUAACUUGGCUUAAGCAGUUUCCUCAU